rnacentral:misc_RNA from 1 species
AUGUGAUGGGCUCUUGCAAUUUCAGUUUCUUCCUAUCGUUGCUGCAUCUGCAGUUGAGCAGAUGCGGGUUUCUCGGGGUCCAGUGGUUGAUCGUUUUUUGUUCCAGUCACAGAAUUUUACAUCUGGAGAAGGAGACUUCAAGUCGGAAGGCAUACCUGAACUUGAAACUUCUAGAGAUGGGGCCUCCUGUUUGUAUUCUCGUGCCCAGAAGCUUACAAGUCUUUGUGGGUGGGAACCAAGAUGGCUC